rnacentral:lncRNA from 1 species
GUUAAAAAUAAAUAAAUAACAAAGAAUAAAUAUCCCUUUCUCUUCUUCCCUCUGCCUGUAUCCAUAUAGGGGAAAGAAAAAAGUGCUCAGAGAUUCAGUGAGAUUAUGACCUUCACAAAAUCAUGAACUUUCUGCUGCCUUUUUAACCAGAAAUCUAGGCAGGAGGGUCUCACCAUUUUGCAUACCCUACCUGUUCCUUAGAGGCUCUAGGCUUUUGAGCCUUCCUAUCAUUUGACCAGCCAGGUUGCUUCUCAGCACCUUUUUUUUCCCCUUUGAGUCAGGGUCUUGCUUUGUCUCCCAGGUUGGGGUCCAGUGGCCCAAUUAUAGCUCACUGCAGCCUCAGUAUCCCAGGCUCAAGCAAUCCUCCCACCUCAGCCUCCCAAGUAGCUGGGACUACAGGCAUGAGCCACCAUGCCUAGCCUUCAGGCACCUUCCAUUCAGACCACAUUUUCUUUGGCAAACUGACAACGCCAAUGUUUGCAGAUUGCAGUUUAACUACAGCUAUAUUUUUUGCCAAACAUUUACACCUAACUGCUCUUUUCCACUAAAGUAUAUAACAAUUUACAGAAGCAUUUAAUGUUUUCUGAAUCCCCAAGGUCAUCAGCAGAGAAGCUCCAAAACAUGAAGGUGUACAUCCCUAUUUUAAAAGGCCUUCAUAGAAAGAAACC